GCGCACCAGUCGCGAAAACUUUGCAAUACGCGAAAGCUUGACGGGGCUAUCCCGAGUGCCGUCCGCUGAGGAAGGCUUUUACCCAGUCUAGAAAGCUGGGGGAAUAAGGAGAGGGCAAGUCUGGUGUCAGCCGCCGCGGUAAUACCAGCUCUCCGAGUGGUGGGGACGUUUAUUGGACCUGAAGCAUCCGUAGCUGGCUGAGUUAGUCCCCUGUUAAAUCCACCGAAUUAAUCGUUGGAUUGCGGGGGAUACUGCUCGGCUAGGGGACGGGAGAGGCCGACGGUAUUUUCGGGGUAGGGGUGAAAUCCUAUAAUCCCGGGAAGACCACCAGUGGCGAAGGCUGUCUGCUAGAACGCGCCCGACGGUGAGGGAUGAAAGCUGGGGGAGCGAACCGGAUUAGAUACCCGGGUAGUCC
rnacentral:rRNA from 1 species